rnacentral:lncRNA from 1 species
GCUAGUAUGCCAAGUGAGCUAUGGAUUCUUAGACAGCCCUUCUUCUCUAAUUUGAUUUCUAGGCUAGACUUACCUUUUUAACUUGAUUUAAUCUUCAUUAAAAUUUUUUGCAAGGUGUGUCUAGUCUUGAGUUUCUUCACUGAGUUCUUGAGUGAUGGUUUUUCAUUUAGUUAUCGAAAAAUAUUUAAAAAUUAUGAGCACUUAAAAUUUGAAACUAUAAAUCCUCAUAAAUAGU